UACUACCGAAGCUACGGCAUCAGUAAUGAUGGGUAGGGGAGCUUCCCAUACGGGUUGAAGCAUGACCGUAAGGACAUGUGGACAGUAUGGGAGUGAGAAUGUUGGCAUGAGUAGCGAGAUGUGGGUGAGAACCCCACAGGCCGUAAACCCAAGGUUUCCAGGGGAAGGUUCGUCCGCCCUGGGUUAGUCGGGACCUAAGCUGAGGCAGAAAGGCGUAGGUGAUGGACAACAGGUUGAUAUUCCUGUACUACCGAUAACCGUUUGAGAGAAGGGAUGACACAGUAGGAUAAGCUAAGCACACUGUUGGUUAUGUGUGCCCAAGCAUUGAGGCAGUCAAAGUAGGCAAA
rnacentral:rRNA from 1 species